rnacentral:rRNA from 1 species
GCGGCAACAGCUCAAAUUUGAAAUCUGGUCACCUUACGGAGGCCCGAGUUGUAAUUUGAAGAGGAUGCUUUUGGCGAGGUGCCUUCCGAGUGCCCUGGAACGGGACGCCACAGAGGGUGAGAGCCCCGUAUGGUUGGACACCGAGCCUAUGUAAAGCUCCUUCGACGAGUCGAGUAGUUUGGGAAUGCUGCUCAAAAUGGGAGGUAAACCCCUUCUAAAGCUAAAUAUUGGCCAGAGACCGAUAGCGCACAAGUAGAGUGAUCGAAAGAUGAAAAGCACUUUGAAAAGAGAGUUAAACAGCACGUGAAAUUGUUGAAAGGGAAGCGCUUGCGACCAGACUUGCGCCCGUCGGAUCAACCGUCGCUUGUCGGCGGCGCACUCCGGCGGGCUCAGGCCAGCAUCAGUUUUCCCGGGGGGAGAAAGGCGGUGGGAAUGUAGCUCCUAGGAGUGUUAUAGCCCGCCGCGUAAUACCCUCGGGGGGACUGAGGACCGCGCAUC